rnacentral:rRNA from 1 species
UACGUAGGGUGCGAGCGUUGUCCGGAAUUAUUGGGCGUAAAGAGCUCGUAGGCGGUUUGUUGCGUCUAUCGUGAAAACCUGCAGCUUAACUGUGGGCUUGCGGUGGAUACGGGCAGACUUGAGUUCGGUAGGGGAGACUGGAAUCCUGUCGUGGUGGUAAAUGGCGACGGAUAAUCAGGAUGGAACGAGACCGGCUGGGUGG